rnacentral:rRNA from 1 species
GACGAACGCUGGCGGCGUGCUUAACACAUGCAAGUCGAACGGUGAACCUCUUCGGAGGGGAUCAGUGGCGAACGGGUGAGUAACACGUGGGCAACCUGCCCCCGGCUCUGGGAUAACUCCAAGAAAUUGGGGCUAAUACCGGAUGUUCACCGCUUCCCGCAUGGGUGGUGGUGGAAAGGGUUUCCGGCUGGGGAUGGGCCCGCGGCCUAUCAGCUUGUUGGUGGGGUAGUGGCCUACCAAGGCGGCGACGGGUAGCCGGCCUGAGAGGGUGACCGGCCACACUGGGACUGAGACACGGCCCAGACUCCUACGGGAGGCAGCAGGGGGGAAUAUUGCGCAAUGGGCGGAAGCCUGACGCAGCGACGCCGCGUGGGGGAUGACGUCCUUCGGGUUGUAAACCUCUUUCAGCAGGGACGAAGCGCAAGUGACGGUACCUGCAGAAGAAGCACCGGCCAACUACGUG